UUAAGAUCUUUUAUAUUUUUAGGUUUCGAAGUUAAUUUAGGGCGACUUACUGGUGCAGAAAGAACUCGGCGGUAUAGAGAAAAAAUGAAACGAGAUAAUCCUGAAAAAUUAAGAAGGAGAGAUUUGACCAAAGAAGAGCUGGAAGAAAGGAGAAAAAGAUGGCGCGACCGCAAACGCAAAGAAAGAAUACGAAAGAGAGAAAGGGAAGAAAUAAACAAUUUGUUUAUGUUUAGUCUUUGAAACAAUUUUCAUUACUUAGAUAAACACAUAAAAAUGUUGAUUUCUUUACAUAACGCAAUAGCUUGGCGCCUAAGACACACUGCUUUUGAUAUGGGUUGGCGACUAAUAUGUUAAUGAGUUACAUUAAAAACAUUUUUAUUUUUAAUGUGAGUAAACUAACUAUAAAAGUUAAUCAAAUUAAACGCAGUGCAAAGAUAAAACAAGGUUGCAGUAACAAAACGCAAAUUGACAGACCUACCUGUUUGACAAUGACAGUGACGUAUCGAUACGUAUGUUUCCGAGAUAUCAAAAUUUUCUUUUUCUCUACAAAAAUGUGUGUAAUAUUUAAUCACGAAACGUGGAUUUUGAUAAGUGAUUGUGUGUGGUGAAUUUCGUACCUAAUGAGACCUUAAAAUAAUAUUAAAUGUUUUCCAACAUAACCUCUAAAGUGCAGUUUAGUUACUUUCUGUUGUUUUUGUAGUGUGUGAUAGUGCAAUAUUCGUAGAAAUUCAACAAAAACUUUUAUGAAAAUGGUGCUGUGGGCAUCAAGUUAUUCUCUAAAAGUGUUGUUGCUCCUCUUAAAGAAGAAUUCAAUAACAAACUGGACAAACUGCUGACCCGUAAGAAAAGUAACAGCGCAUAUUACAUUAAUGAAGUCCGAUAUCAAGAUUUCAUUCGUGAAAUCAAAGAAAUAAAAAGAAAAUGUCAUAAAGACUUCGAUGAUUAUAAAAUGUUGGCAAAU